rnacentral:lncRNA from 1 species
CGGAUAUCCAAGGCACAUGUGACAGAAAUAAAGUUAAGAGUGCCCAGGUAAGUGGCCCCUCAGCCAGGUCUCAUUUGCCAGCUUGUGAACUGGUUGAGUCUGGAAUAAGUACGUAUGUGUGCAGGCAGCAGGACCACGCAUGCAGAAACCCUGGAGGGUUAGAAACAGAGAGGUAGUCUCGCUGGAGGUACGAUGUCUCCAUGGCUGGCCAGUGGGUCUGAGGCAGCCACCACUUUCACAGGGCUCUUCCCUGAGCUGAAGAAAGGCUGAGGCUCCCUAGCUACACUCCAGUUCUGGCUGAUUUUGAAAAAUAAAAGCCUCGAGUUACAGGUUAUCUGUCUAGUGUGUUGUUCCUACCCCAGGAUACUCCUUUCUGGGCCACAACCACUCCCAGUUAGGUAAGUUAAGAAAACACACCAAUGUAUUACAGCAUUAAUCUGUUAAAGAACUUAAGUAGAGUGAAGAAACAUGUGGAGAGGCAGCAUCCUAGCUGAUCAGACAAAAGGUGGGUUCCAGGACUUCACAGCAGAUCCUCUCACACAGCUCAGUUGGAAGGGGACGGAGAGCUUGGUGAGCACUCAGGUUUGCUAACACUUUGUUAACUUAGCAAAUGCUGCAUUAUUGGACAAUACAAGCUGGGAGAAAGCAUAUGAAACAUACAACGGCACAACUGCUCAAAACUCCCUGAGGCUUGGGUCAUCCAUUUAUCACUAGGAAAUAAAUACGAUCAAAGUGAAACUAAACAUAAGGUCAAAGUCAGAGAUAUGUCAACAGAAGAACUGCCUUCAAAAUGACCCAACAGUGACGCCCAGCACUAGCUAGCUGUCUUCCCCACAAAAGGACCAAGCAUCCGUGAGAACAUGAAGCUUUGAAAGGUUCAGGGAUCUGGGAGGACAGCACAGAAAGAGGAGGAGAAUAUUCCGUCACUGGACCCUCACUGGAGCAGAGGCAGUCCCUUCUCUAUACUGUGUGCAUGUGGGGGACUGUCCCAGCAAACUAUUAGGAUGAUACUGAUAAUCCCUACAACUCAAACUUCACUAUUCUGAUGGGCCUGGUGGUAACUAACCAAAAUUCCUCCCAGUGAUUUUGCUUUGGAAAAUGAAUUUACUCCACUCACCAUUAGCCAGGUACAGGCAGCAGCCAUCUUAAAAUGAGGUCUACUCUGAAUGUAGUCUGCUUUCAUGGUCAUAAGCCACUGUAUGGAAUCAUCUGAGGCCCUAAACCUGGCUAAGCAAAGUGACCCAGGUCUCUUCCUGGGUGCUGUGACACAGGAAUGGAUGGCACUGUCCUCAAGAACGACUUUACCUUUGAGACCAGGGAUGUGGCACCCAGGUGAGGACUUUAUUCAGUGCCAGGAAUGAAGGCAGAUGCCAGUGUGGUUUCUGUUGCCACCGCCUCCCCACCAUGGCUCCCUCUGUCCUUGAUGGGGCUUUAUGCUUCUCCUUGGUUCCAGCUCUUGCCCCGCAAGUAAAACCAAGAAACUACUACUGUCAAAGUACAAAUCUCACGGAAAUGGCAAAUCCACAAAACAGGAACUGGAAAGGGUUAAACGUUUUCAAGACAGUAAUUCAUCAAACUAGAAUGAAUGAAAACAGACUAACUAAAAGGUGCAGGCUGGGUGAAUGGAUUAAAAACAAGAAGAUAAUGACUACAGGAAGCUCACUUUGCAAGUAAAGACACAGACUGAAGAUGUCAGAAGAGGCGUUUCCAAAAAUGCACUAAAGAUCCAGAGCAGCCAAACAGCAGGAAGUUGUAAUAAAAUAUUCCAUCUAAGCCAAAGGGAGAAAAAAAAAAAAAAGAAAACAACAAAAAACCCAAAAACCAGAGAUCCCAAAGUACAUCCAUAACUGAUUUUUUAUAAGAGGUUUUUAAAAAAUACAAUGGAAAAAAAUCCUUGCUCUACUAAAUGCAGCUGGGAAGGCUGGAGAUCCAUGGCAGAGGAUAGAAACUUGAUCCUAUCUCUCCCAUGAACAAAAGUCCACUCAAAGUGGAUGAGAAGCCCACAUGGAACAUAUAAAGCCCUGCAGCUACAGAAGACAGCCGGGAGGAAAGCGUGCAGGACACGGCUGCAGACAGAGACUUUCUCUUUAGGAAUUCAAGCAGAGAAACAAAAGCAAAUACCAACACUGGUGAGUAAGGAUUGCCUCAAACGAAAAUUAUCAGUACAGAGAAACACUCUACAGAAUGAAGAAACAGACUAUAACAUGGAGGCAAUAUUAAUGUGUUAUCCACCUAACUGAGGCUUAAUAGCCAGAGUACUUAAAAAAACAAAACAAAACAAAACAAAACAAAAACAAACCCCUCAAAACUGAUGGAAUAGCACAGAAAAGCUGUGAGUGGUCUGUAUGGAUACAUCUC